rnacentral:ncRNA from 1 species
GUCUUUGGGGCAGGGUGCAAUUCCCUACCGGCGGUUACAGCCCGCGAGCUUUAAGCAUGAUUUGGUGAAAUUCCGAAGCCGACAGUACAGUCUGGAUGAGAAAAGAU